AUCCAGCUGACGAGUCUCAAAUAGGACGAAACCCGCAUCUUGAAU
rnacentral:hammerhead_ribozyme from 1 species